rnacentral:rRNA from 1 species
GCCUACAGCUGUACUACCCUGAACACACUCAAUCUCUGUCUAAUCUCAAAAACUAAGCAGGAUUGAGCCUGGUUAGUACUUCAGUGGGAUACUGCCUGGGAAUACUGGGUGCUAUAAGCU